rnacentral:rRNA from 1 species
AGAUUGAACGCUGGCGGCAGGCCUAACGCAUGCAAGUCGAGCGGUAGAGAGGUGCUUGCACCUCUUGAGAGCGGCGGACGGGUGAGUAAUGCCUAGGAAUCUGCCUAGUAGUGGGGGAUAACGCUCGGAAACGGACGCUAAUACCGCAUACGUCCUACGGGAGAAAGCAGGGGACCUUCGGGCCUUGCGCUAUCAGAUGAGCCUAGGUCGGAUUAGCUAGUUGGUGAGGUAAUGGCUCACCAAGGCGACGAUCCGUAACUGGUCUGAGAGGAUGAUCAGUCACACUGGAACUGAGACACGUCCAGACUCGUAC